rnacentral:rRNA from 1 species
CAUCACUACGCUAGAUGCAUAUCAAUAAGCGGAGGAAAAGAAACUAACAAGGAUUCCCUUAGUAACGGCGAGUGAAGCGGGAAGAGCUCAAAUUUGAAAUCUUCAAGGUUCUACCUUGACGAAUUGUAGUUUAUAGAAGUGUUUUCCGUUAGUAGAGUGGCAAAAGUUCUUUGGAAUAGGACAUCAUAGAGGGUGAGAAUCCCGUAUUUGGUCAUUCUUUCUAGCUUUGUGAUACACUUUCAACGAGUCGGAUUGUUUGGGAAUGCAGUCCAAAAUGGGUGGUAAAUUUCAUCUAAAGCUAAAUAUUGGCGAGAGACCGAUAGCGAACAAGUACCGUGAGGGAAAGAUGAAAAGAACUUUGAAAAGAGAGUUAAACAGUACGUGAAAUUGUCAAAAGGGAAGCGUUUGACACCAGUGUUGUUUUCUCGAAGAUCAAUUAAAAAUGGUGGGAUUUUGUGUUGUAUUGGCUUUAUCAACUUUCUGCACUUUUUUCUUAUCUUUUUUAAUGCACUUUUCGUUUAACAAGUCAACAUCAAUUUCUUUUGUUGUAAAAGAGUCAUUGGAAGGUGGCUUUUUCUUCGGAAAAAGUGUUUAUAGCCUUGUGCCUCUGCAAUCGGAGAGAUUGAGGUCUGCAGCGUAGAUCCUUCGGGGUUAGAUACAUUUGUGCUAAGUUAUAGCUUUUCAUAGACAACUUGUUGACUAUGUUUAGUCUUGUAGCUUACUCGCUUACGCUAUUUUACCUACGCUUAGGAUGUUGAAGAUAUGCGCGACACG